AAUGUGCAGCCAAGACAAUUCACUCUACUUCUUGGUUUGUCUCAUCAUCCACUCCCACACCUUCAUGGUAUUUAAUCCAUAAAUCACAGUGGCUGGUCCACUUGCCUUAUCACAGAUUGUUGCUUUAGUUGUGUAAAAAUAAGCUCUCAUCACCAAAACUGAAGACUAAACUUUCAGCAUCUCAAUAGUUGCACAUUCCUUUACUGUAACAGCUAUUGCUUUGAAAGGUUACUAGAAAGACAAAAUAGGUAAAUAUGCAAGUGAGUUAGAAACACAUCUGUUCCCUCUUCCCCCAGACGUGAUGGCUUCAUUCAGUAGAAACCAGGAGAGUUCAUUGCUUUUAAGAAGACCAUAUCAACUGCAACAGAGGGAACAGUCUAGAAGCAUAUUGUUUCCCUAUUCCCCAUGAAACGACUAACUCAUGGUCACAACACUUGAGACUUCUGGCAGCUGCACUAUCUGGAAGUUUUAUGCUGAGUGGCCUGGUGCCCAGCUUUCAUUCCUGAGGUAAAGAAGGCACCACAGGCUUGCGGCGCAAAAUUGGCCUUCUGUCUUUCUACAAUGUUCUUUGUGGUAUUUGAGCUACGCUCCCAAAAUGUAGAACUCUGCUCCAGAAUGCUAGAAGUGUAGGACAGGGAGAAAAUGGUAGAUGUGGCUAUAUUUCAGAGAGCAUAUCCAUUGCUGCCUUGUUUUUUUAUAGCAAUACUUCAGUGAAAUGUAGAAACUAGAUGCACCAAACCUUUAUUUUAGCUGUAAUAAGUUCAAUGUAAUUAGCAUAUUAUUUUCACAGACUUUGUAUGUGACCAGCUAACAGAAAAUUGUUUGAUACUGUUCUCACAAAAUUAUUAUUUCGCAACAUUUAAUAGUCAUAAACCAUGAUACAGUUAAAAUUGA